GUGGACAUAGCUCAGUUGGUAGAGCACCUGAUUGUGGUUCAGGAGGUCGCGUGUUCGAGCCACGUUGUCCACC
rnacentral:tRNA from 1 species